CUCUCUUUUUCCUCUCAAACCAAAUUAAAAAAGAAAAUAUAAACAUAACAAUCUAAUUAAUAAACCAUAGAAUAGCAAAGAACAAGCCAAAGAUCAUGGAACUCUCUCUUCUCACCCAUCAGCACAAUCCUUUCCUCACCUCCAAUCUCUUCACAAGAACACACAAAAAACUUUACAACAAAAAUUCAAAUAGGUUAUUACCAUGUAGCUGUUCACAUUCUUCUUCCAAUAAUGUUUCUGUAGAACCAGUUACUGUGUCUUCACAAAUUGAAGGAAGAAGAGCAUUACUCACUUGUCUCCUCACAACAUGUAUUGCUGGAGUCUAUGCAUGUGAUGUGGCUGAAGCUGUUAGCACUAGUAGAAGAGCUCUAAGAGGAGCAAAAAUUCCUGAAAGUGAUUUCAAAACCUUGCCGAAUGGUUUGAAGUACUAUGAUUUGAAGGUUGGAAAUGGAGCUGAAGCUGUGAAAGGAUCGCGUGUCGCAAUUCACUAUGUUGCUAAAUGGAGGGGAAUCACAUUUAUGACUAGUAGACAAGGAAUGGGCGUUGGAGGAGGAACGCCCUAUGGAUUUGAUGUAGGCGAAUCUGAGAGAGGAAAUGUCCUAAAAGGUUUGGACUUAGGAGUAGAAGGCAUGCGAAUUGGAGGCCAGAGGCUGUUAAUUGUUCCUCCUGAACUGGCCUACGGAAGCAAGGGAGUUCAAGAAAUCCCUCCAAAUGCAACAAUAGAGGUUUAAUUAUUCAAUUUCUGCAGGUGGAUGUUGAACUGCUUGCCAUUAAACAAAGCCCAUUUGGGAGUGCUGUAAAGAUUGUUGAAGGCUAAUGCAGUGGUUUAAUAUUCAGAGUGCAGUGAUUUAAUAUUCAAAGUGCUUGCUAUGUAAGCAAAAAUUGUGAGAGGAUAAUGUAUGUCCUGGUAGGGGACGUACCAGAUGGCUUUGUCUUUGAUGAUAGAAUUUUACUUGUUUCUGGUCUGGCAUAAAAGAAAGAUUGAAAAGUUGAACAUUGCUAAAAAAAAAAUUGAUUGGAUUGUAUUCAAUUAAA